UUCCGGUUGAUCCUGCCGGACCCGACUGCUAUUUGGGUGAGGAUAAGCCAUGCGAGUUGAAUGGGAAACCUAAAGUUCCCAUGGCAAACUGCUCAGUAACACAUGAUCAACUUACCCUAUAGAGAAAAAUAACCUCGGGAAACUGAGGAUAAUGUUUCAUAGUUGAAUUGGCUUGGAAAAGUUUUUCGACGAAAGGGGUAAAAAAAAUGGUUUUUAUCUGCUAUAGGAUAGGAUCGUGUUCGAUUAUGGUUGUUGGUGAGGUAAUGGCUCACCAAGCCGAUAAUCGAUAGGGCCGUGAGAGCGGGAGCCCCGAGAUGGGUACUGAGACAACGACCCAGGCCUUACGAGGCGCAGCAGGCGCGAAACCUCCGCAAUACACGAAAGUGUGACGGGGUUACCCAAAGUGUUCAAUUUUGAACUGUGGUAGGUGAGUAAUGUUCCCUACUAGAAAGGAGAGGGCAAGGCUGGUGCCAGCCGCCGCGGUAAAACCAGCUCUUCAAGUGGUCGGGAUAAUUAUUGGGCUUAAAGUGUCCGUAGCCGGUUUGGUAAGUUCCUGGUAAAAUCGGGUAGCUUAACUAUCUAUAUGCUAGGAAUACUACUAUACUAGAGGGCGGGAGAGGUCUGAGGUACUACAGGGGUAGGGGUGAAAUCUUAUAAUCCUUGUUGAACCACCAGUGGCGAAGGCGUCAGACUGGAACGCGCCUGACGGUGAGGGACGAAUGCCAGGGGAGCGAACCGGAUUAGAUACCCGGGUAGUCCUGGCCGUAAACGAUGCAUACUAGGUGAUGGCACGGCCAUGAGCCGUGUCAGUGCCGUAGGGAAACCGUUAAGUGUGUCGCCUGGGAAGUACGGUCGCAAGGCUAAAACUUAAAGGAAUUGGCGGGGGAGCACCACAAGGGGUGAAGCCUGCGGUUCAAUUGGAUUCAACGCCGGA
rnacentral:rRNA from 1 species